rnacentral:lncRNA from 1 species
GGAGGGCUCGAGAUGGGCUUGUAGGGCCGUAGCGGUUGGAGAAGAGAGGAGGUUGUGGGUGGCUUCCCUUAUUUUGAACCGACGGCUAGGGUGUGUUGAUCUCGCGAGGAAGUACCUUAUAGCGAUGUACGAGGGUUUCAUCCUUUUUGAGUCGUCCGAUUUUGAUCGGACGGCUUUGUUUUUUCUACAUAGGUGGGCUUAGUGUGCUCUGUGGAGGGGGUGAAAUUUGAUGAGAGGGAGGUGUGUGGCCCGACAACAGAGUUUUAAAACCAAAAACUUCCGACGAAUAAAUUCGCUAUAGUGCCGCGAUAGGUUUAAUGGUUCGAGUAUCAAAUGGAGUCCGAUUGCGAGGAAAUUUGGCAAUUGGUUUACCUACACUA